GCCAGGGAGAUGCUGGUCCAUUCUCUGGCCUGGAGGAAGCUACACAGUAUUGAUAAGCUGCUGGAGACCUACACACCUAGUGAGGUCCUACUGCAGUACUACAGCGGUGGUUGGCAUUACUCAGAUAAAGAUGGGAGGCCCCUGUAUGUGCUGAAAUUGGGUCAGAUGGAUGUGAAGGGACUGAUGAGAUCAGUGGGAGAAGAGGCCAUCUUAAAGCAUGUUCUUUAUGUCAAUGAGGAGGGGCUGAGGAGAGCAGACGAGGCCACCAAGUCCAGGGGUUACCCUGUCAGUGCCUGCACAUGCAUAGUUGACCUAGAGGGUCUCAGUAUGAGACAUUUAUGGAGGCCAGGAAUCCGGGCCCUUCUCCGUAUCAUUGAGGUGGUGGAGGCUAAUUACCCAGAAACCAUGGGAAGACUCUUAAUUGUCAGGGCUCCCCGAGUGUUUCCCGUUUUAUGGACCCUUAUAAGCCCUUUCAUUGAUGAAAAUACUCGUCAAAAAUUCAUGUUUUAUGGAGGAAAUGAUUAUCAAGAGCCAGGUGGACUUCGAGAUUUUAUUGAUGAAAAAUAUAUUCCAGACUUUUUAGGAGGCCACUGCUAUUGUGAUGUUCCGGAUGGUGGUUUGGUUCCUAAGUCCCUGUACAAAGAAGAGUAUCAGGACAAGUCUCCAGAGGGCCCCCCACUCAGUGUAGACAGCUGUUAUAACACUAGUCAUGUAGUCAAGGACUUUCCCCAUGAGGUCAUGAUUCAAGUACCUCAGAGAGGUUCUGUGAUAACCUGGGACUUUGACAUUCUGAAAGGUGAUGUCACCUUCACUGUAUUGCGCUGUAAGCGGUCGAUAUCAGCAGAUCCAGUCCACCAGCAUCACGUCAGUGCGGCCACUGGUGGGAUAGGGUCUGUGCAGUACAUUGACAAAAACAUGCAGGUUGGCCCAGAUCUGAGUAUUGUGGAACGACCCCUUAUUUGUAGAGACGGGGAUAGUGUACAGGGAUCUCAUGUUGUCAGUGAAUCGGGAAGUUACAUUUUACAAUGGAAGUACUUUGACUCAGCCAAGACUUCCUUUGAUUUUACCCUCGCUCCUCAUAAAUCUAAAGUCAUGUAUCACACAGAAUUGCUGCGGUCGGAAGCUUUCAGGGGCUCCAUGAGCAGUUUACAGUCAUAUCACAGUGGUUCACUGAGUAGCCGGGCAUCUCAGAGCAGUCUGACUGGUUCCUUCAGUGGUCCGGGACCCUCAUCCAAUCCCAACAGGUUGGUUGAGUCAACGAGAUUAUCACGACCCUGAAACCCUGCAGCAAGUCAUAUCCAACAGUUUUAUGGAUGAAUUGUUAACCUUAUAUACUUGUUACGUUUUACCUAUAUUUAUUGACAUGUAGUCGUGAUGUUUUAUACACUGUUUAUACGUUGAAAAAGUACUAAGAUUAUAGUGCAAAAGAUUCAAUCUGUAAAUUCUUGAAUAAGCUCCGUACGAGUUUGUAUAUAGAUGACAAGUAUUGCACUUUAUAUCAGAGUUGUUUGCUUUGUUUGCACUAACUCUCAUCUACAUAGAAGAGGUAGCUCAGUCUCUUGGCUAAAGCUUUUUUGGCAUGGUUACUUAGAAAAACUGAAAUGUCAGUUGACAGCAAUUUCAUGCGAGUGCCAUAUUAGAGAGGGAAAGAGAGAAAAGAAAUGCAAAUGAUUUGAAUGAAGAUCUCAGAAAACCUUCAAGUAUUCUUGAUGGCUGCAUGACCAAAAAAAUAUCAGUGCAAUGUGUAGGGUAAAUAAAGAUAUCUAAGUAAUAGGUGAUAGUUUUUAGAGAUAUCCAGGAUAUCAUUAGGUGUAUAUUUAGGAGAUCACAAUGUACAUUGAAUAUCUAGUGCUUGAAUAUGAGUAGUGGAGAGAGAGAGACUGGAGGGUGUGAUACAUUUCAUAGUGCAGCACUGUAAAAGUAUUCAUAACUGAAAAGAUACUGUGAAAGCCUUCAGACUUCUCAUUGCAUUUCUUCAUUGUAUAAAUUAUUUUCAUGAAUUUUUAGAAAAUAAUCUGUUUCAGUGGUAUGCUCUAUCUUCCAUUGUGAGUACAUAAGGAUGAAAGUUUUAUUGUUUUAACUGUUUAAAUCGUAACACAUCAGUUACAUUGUUUUAUUGUGUUAACAUGUAUCAAACCAUGAGGUAAUGGAAAGGUUAAUAUAAAAUUAUCCCACUUAUCCAAGUUAUGAAAUUAGAUAAACUCUAAAACAGUUAAUGAGUUGGGGGUUGAUUCUGUCAUGAAUGUAAGCUUUUUGUAAACAGUUAGCAUUGUUAUCAAAAUGAUUGUUUCUGGUUGGGCAUAUAUUUUGUAACACAAAUUUAAGGGCACAAAGGUAAAUAUUUCAUUCGUUGGUUUGUUCUGGAGUUUUUCGAAAUGCAGCGAUUGUAUAUUUUUAAUUAUUUUAUUAGUCCAUUCUAAGGUAGCAUUAUAUGUUAUCCUCUUUGUAUUAUUCCAAUAACAGUUUGCCAAAAAAUUCAGAGAGGUGAUUUUGAUUGUGCUGAAUACAAGUUUAUUACCCUGGUACUUUUUACUUUUUUUUCCGAGACUGACCAAAGAGUUCUUGAAAGAAUUUUUAAUUUGUUUUCAUAUUCUUUUCAUUUUUUACAUUGAUCUUCUGAGUCAAUAGUUGAUUUUGGAGGUUUUAUACCAGUAUACUCAAGAAGAACAAUUUCCAUUUUGAGCAUUCAUUUCGUAUUUUUUGUCAGUCUAGUCUUAAUUGUAUGUAAUUGAAAACAACUCAAUUUCUCAGCACAUACAAAAAAUACGAUGGAUUAUCCAAAUAGGUUUUAUUUUAACCCUCUGCUAUUGUGAUUAAAAUUUCUGGCCUGUUAGUUGUUGCCUUAAUCAUGAAUUUAUUACAUGUAAUACGUUGGGUAUAAGAAGUUAUUUUCAUGUCCAUCUAUGAAAAAAGAGGAAAUCGUGGGAAAACUGCUGUACUUAGAAGCAUGAUGCAUAGUUUUGUUUCCUUGUUAAUAGUUUUUAUGCCAAAAAACUCAGUAUAUUCAUACUUUUUAUGUUAAAAUGCAACUAGUGGUGAUUUGCCAAUUUAUACGGGAAAGACUAUCAACGGCUACAAAUAAAAGUUUCUUAAAUACAU
rnacentral:misc_RNA from 1 species